rnacentral:rRNA from 1 species
GAUGAACGCUGGCGGCGUGCUUAACACAUGCAAGUCGAACGAAGCACUUUAUUUUAUUUCCUUCGGGACUGAUUAUUUUGUGACUGAGUGGCGGACGGGUGAGUAACGCGUGGGUAACCUGCCUUGUACAGGGGGAUAACAGUUGGAAACGGCUGCUAAUACCGCAUAAGCGCACAGCAUCGCAUGAUGCAGUGUGAAAAACUCCGGUGGUAUAAGAUGGACCCGCGUUGGAUUAGCUAGUUGGUGAGGUAACGGCACACCAAGGCGACGAUCCAUAGCCGACAUGAGAGGGUGACCGGCCACAUUGGGAAUGAGACACGGCCCAAAAUCCUACGGGAGGCAGCAGAGGGGAAUAUUGCAAAAUGGGCGAAAGCCUGAUGCAGCGACGCCGCGUGAGCGAAGAAGUAUUUCGGUAUGUAAAGCUCUAUCAGCAGGGAAGAUAAUGACGGUACCUGACUAAGAAGCACCGGCUAAAUACGUG